GCACCACGGUUACUGAGAUGGGAUAAUUCUUCCAACAUGAUGUCUCUGGGGAUGCUGACCUUUUUGCCCAGGUCCAUGCCAUCAACAUCUGUAAAACAAUAUUCAUAUGAGUAAAAAUCCCAAGGUAAAAUUAGAGGAGUCCACUAAUUAUAAAAGUCACAAUAUCAAGAUUUUUGCUUCUGGGAAGAUGAAGUAGAUGUGUUUUUUCCUGUAAAGCUAUUAAAUACAACCUCACAUGUUGGACAUUAUAAGUAAAUAAAUAAAAGACUCUGAAAGUGUAAAGAAAUAGGCAGACAAGCUAGGGACCCCAGGACCCAAGGAACAACAUGGUGAUUAAUACUCUGGGUGUUCUUUUAGCCCCUAAAUCUCAGACUUGAAGCUGAAGAUGAUGGCAACCCAGAAACACCAAGAGGUCCAGACAGACAAAGCACCAACGAAAGGCUGUUCUCUCCAGCUAAAGGACCAGGAAAGGAGCUGCCUCUGCAAGACAGAAAAUGUUUAGACAAUGGCUGCGCUACUUUAGCCAACCACCACAGAAAACACUUUGACUUCGCUCUCACCCACGUUAAGAUCUUGUGGGGAGCCCAGAAUUUCACCCUGUGAGGCUGUAACAAGUUUCUCCAAUACUCCCACUAGGGUGGUGUCAGAGAGACCGAGUGGGAAGUUGGGACUUUCAUUCCUUUUGGCCAGUAACUAGCUCCUUGUCUCCGCAGUCUUAGUGAAGACUACGUGGGAGUCUGAACUCCUGUCCUCUCCCAGCAAUAACAAAGAGGCUCCCCUCAAGUUUCAGUGGAGCCAAAUAGGGAACCCAGACUUCUACAUUCACCUGCAGUAAUGAGUUGGCACUCCUGCUGGAGCAGUGUCAGAUAAGAACAGAUGAAAAAGAAGGUUUAUUUAAAGAGCAAGCAUCUCAGAACAUAAUGUGAAAAUGUCCAGGCUUAAAUUGAAAAUCACUUAUAUAUAUUAUGAAAAUCACUUAUACAAAGAACUAGAAAAAUCUCAAACUGAAUGAAAAAUUAAAAAAAAAAUCAAAUGCCAACACUGGGAUGACUGAGAUAUUAAAACUAUCUGACAAAUAUUUUAAAGUACCCAUAAUUUAAAACAAUGCUUCAGAAAGCAGUUAGGAAACCACUUGAAACAAAUUCUUUAAAUGGAAAGGUUUUUUUUUUUUUUGCCAAUGACUCCAUCAGCAGCAGCAAAAAAAAAAAAAAAAAAAAUCUCAGUCGAGAAAUAAAAGAUAUAAAGAACAAAACAAAAAUUUUAGAACUCAAAAUAUAAUAACCUGAGUAAAAAGCUCAGUGAAUGGGCUCAAUAGUAAAAUAGAGGGGGCAAAUGAGAAAAAUCACUUAGCUGUUAGAAUAGAAUUUCCCCAAUAAGACCAACACAGAGAAAAAUAGACUUGAAAACAAAUGAACGAGGUAUUCUUAGGGAUUCAUGGGACUCUAAUAAAAGAUAUAGCAUUCAUGUCAUUGAAGUUCCAGAAGGAGAGGAAAAAUAAGGGGAGGCUGGAAAAGUACUUAAAGAAAUCACGGCUGAAAAAUGUCCUAAAGUUGACAAGAGAUAUAAACUUACAGAUUCGAGAAGCUAAGAGAACCCUAAACAUAAUAAACCUGAAUAACUCACAACAAGACUUAUAAUUAAGCUUCUGAAAACUAAAGACAAAGAGAAAAUAUUGAAAGCCACCAGAGGAAAACAACUUACUUAUAUAAGGGGAAAAUAACUAGAAUAAUAGUGGAUUUCUCAUCAGAAACCAUGGAGGCCAAAAGGAAGUUGUACCAUAUUUUUCUAGGUGCUGCAAGAAAAGAAUUGUCAACCCAGAAUCCCAUACCCAGUGAAAUAUAUCCUGCAAGAAAUAAAGGGGAACUUGAGACAUCCUCAGAUGAAGGAAAACUAAGAGAAUUUGUUGCCUGAAAGCCUACCCUAAAAGAAUGACUAAAUGAAGUUUUCUUAAAACAGAAAGGAAACAAUAAAAGAAGGAAGCCUGGAACAUCAGAGAUAAAGAAGGUAUAUAGUAAGCAGAAAUAUAGCUAUAUACAAUAGGCUUCCCUUCUCCUCUUGGGCUUUCUAAAUUAUAUUUUAUUGUAGAAGCCAAAAUUAUAAUACUGACUGAUGUAAAUGUAUGUAGAAGAAAUACUUAAGACAAUUAUUUUAUAAACAGGAGAGGAUAAAAAGACAUCAAAGUAGAUUUUUUUUUUUUUUGAGACAGAGUCUUACUCUGUCACCCAGGCUGGAGUGCAGUGACCCGAUCUUGGCUCACUGCAACCUUCGCCUCCCAGGUUCAAGUGAUUCUCCUGCCUCAGCCUCCCGAGUAGCUGGGAUUACAAGUGCCUGCCACCACCACACCCAGCCAAUUUUUGUUUUUUUAGUAGGGACGGGGUUUCUCCACGUUGGCCAGGCUGGUCUCGAACUCCUGACCUCAAGUGAUCCGCCCACCUCGGUCUCCCAAAGUGCUGGGAUUACAGGCAUGAGCCACCGUGCCUGGCCAAAAGUAGAUAAAUUUUCUAUACUUGCACUGGUAAAAUGACAACAUCAGUAGACUGUGAUAAGUUAUGCAUAUAUAAUGCAAUACUUAGAGCAACUCCUGAAAGCUAUAUGAACAGAUACAUUUGAAAACACUAUACCAAAAUGAAACUCUGAAGUAAUCUCCAGGAAGGCAGAAAAAAAAAACAGGAAUGUAAAACAGAGAUGACAAAUAGAAAACUAAAAAUAAAAUUACAUACUUAAGCUCUAAGACAUUAAUAAAUUAAAUGUAAAUAAUCUAAAUACAUCAAUUGAUGUCAGAUUGGAUUAAAGGUGAACCAACUAUGGUUUGUUGGACGAUGCUGCCUACAUGAAACUCACUGCCUAUGAUAACAUUAUAAGCAAGUGAAAGUAACAGAUUGGAAAAAUAUAUAUCAAGCAACAUCAACCAAAUAUUACCUGAUAUUAAUAUCAGAUAAAAUCACAGCAACAAAGAUUACCAGAAACAGAGGAGGGCAUUAUAUAAUGAUUAAAGUGCGAAUCCACAAAGAUUGCCUAGAAAUCCCAAAUGUACAUGCACCAAAAACAGAGCUAUAAAAUAUUUAAAGUAAAAAAGUAGAACUAAAAGGAGAAAUAGACAAAUCUACAAUUAUAGUUGGAAACUUCAAUCCCCCCAUCUCAGCAGAUGAUAGAACAACUAGGCAGAAGAGCAGUAAGAAUAUAAAAUUCUACAAUAUUAGCAACGAAUAGGACUUAAUUGACAUUUAUAUUUUAUUCAACAACAAUAGAACACACAUUUCUUUCAAGUGCCAGUGGAAUAUAUAUCAAGAUAGACCAUAUCCUGGGCUAUAAAAUAAACCUCAACAAAUUAAAAUGGUUAAAUUAUUCAGAUUGUUAGCGCUGAUCACAAUAAAACCGAACUAGAAAUUAGUAACAGAAUGAUAACAGGAAAAUCUCCAAACACUUGGAAACUAAUCAACAUACUUCUAAAUAGUUCAUGGGACAAAAAGGAAGUCUCAAAGGAAAUUAAAAAUUCAGUGAACUAAACGAAUUUGAAAAUACAGCAUAUCAAAAUUUAUGGGAAACAGUCAACACAGUGCUGAGAGGAAUAUUUAUAGCACUAAAUGCACAGUUAAAAAAGAAAAAAGUAUCAAAUCAAUAAAUAAGUGUCUACCCCAAAAAAUCUAAAAAAAAAAGAUGAACAAAAUAAACUCAAAGCAAGCAGAACGAAA